AGCGGAGGAAAAGAAACCAACAGGGAUUACCUCAGUAACGGCGAGUGAAGCGGUAACAGCUCAAAUUUGAAAUCUGGCUCUUUCAGGGUCCGAGUUGUAAUUUGUAGAAGAUGCUUUGGGUGAGGCUCCGGUCUAAGUUCCUUGGAACAGGACGUCAUAGAGGGUGAGAAUCCCGUACGUGACUGGGUGCCUUUGCUCGUGUAAAGCUCUUUCGACGAGUCGAGUUGUUUGGGAAUGCAGCUCAAAAUGGGUGGUAAAUUUCAUCUAAAGCUAAAUAUUGGCCAGAGACCGAUAGCGCACAAGUAGAGUGAUCGAAAGAUGAAAAGCACUUUGGAAAGAGAGUUAAACAGUACGUGAAAUUGUUGAAAGGGAAGCGCUUGCAACCAGACUUGCAUGCUGUUGAUCAUCCGAGAUUUUUCCCGGUGCACUCGGCAGUAUUCAGGCCAGCAUCGGUUUCGGUGGGCGGAUAAAGGCCUUGGGAAUGUAGCUUCUUUCGGGGAGUGUUAUAGCCCUCGGUGCAAUGCGCCCUACCGGGACCGAGGACCGCGCUUCGGCUAGGAUGCUGGCGUAAUGGUUGUAAGCGACCCGUCUUG
rnacentral:rRNA from 1 species